rnacentral:rRNA from 1 species
UACGUAGGGUGCAAGCGUUGUCCGGAAUUAUUGGGCGUAAAGAGCUCGUAGGCGGUCUGUUGCGUCGGCUGUGAAAACCCGAGGCUCAACCUCGGGCCUGCAGCCGAUACGGGCAGACUAGAGUUCGGCAGGGGAGACUGGAAUUCCUGGUGUAGCAGUGAAAUGCGUAGAGAUCGGGAGGAACAUCAGUUGCGAAGGCGGCUCUCUGGACCAGCACUGACACUGAGGCACGAAAGCGUGGGGAGCAAACAGG